CAUGAACCAUCCAAUUACUUAAUACUCAGCUCCAUCAUAAGCGCAUGGAGUCUUCAGAAUUGUUCAACUCUACUCCCUAUGGCAAACAGAAGUGUCAACUGCAGUACAGUUUCUUCUGGUUAUGUGAACAGACAUCACUAAUUUUAAGAAUUACUUAGGUGGCACCCAGAGCCUUGUGUAUGUUAAGAGGAUGUUUCAGUACUGAGUCUUACACUUGCUUACCUGAGCAGCUUUUACAAAGUUGGUUCCACCCAUCAGUCAAGUAGGACAAGAGGAAGGCACAUUUCUGGAGACCUGGGACAUAAGAAGAGAGAGAAUGGAAAAGGAAAAUAGACACGCAGCAUUCGAAUUCAAAAAGUGUGGAAAGCUUUGGAGCA